CAGCCGCCGCGGUAAUACCGGCGGCCCGAGUGGCGGUCACUAUUAUUGGGCUUAAAGCGUCCGGAGCCGGGUUGGGAAGUCCUCCGGGAAAUCUGGCCGCUUAACGGUCAGAAUGCCGGAGGAUACUCCCAGCCUAGGGAGCGGGAGAGGCCGAGGGGAUUCCCGGGGUAGGGGUGGAAUCCUAUAAUCCCGGGAGGACCACCUGUGGCGAAGGCGCUCGGCUGGAACGCGUCCGACGGUGAGGGACGAAGGCCAGGGGAGCAAACCGGAUUAGAUACCCGGGUAGUCCUGGCUGUAAACGAUGCGGACUUUGUGUCGGACAAGCUAUGAGCUUGUCCGGUGCCGGAGGGAAACCGUUAAGUCCGCCGCCUGGGGAGUACGGCCGCAAGGCUGAAACUUAAAGGAAUUGGCGGG
rnacentral:rRNA from 1 species